rnacentral:lncRNA from 1 species
CAGAUUGGAUCUUUGUUUGAACCAGAAAUUCAGCCAGAGCACAUUCAAAAUCCACCAAUCACGAGCAACUCUUUUCUUGGCGACGUAAAACAGGGGAGGCUCCGAGGCUGCAAACAGGACAUCCUCCCAAGCUGAGGCUCUUAACGGCACGAUCGAUCGUGGCCUCCCCUCACCACCCCGCCCCCUGCCCCACUCAUCGGGGUGACCGCAAAAAUGCCCCUCGGUUCAGGAAUCUGAACUCGGAGGAAACCACGACCCUUCCUCAGUAAAGAUGAAAAGGGACAACCGUUUUCCAGAAGGUGAUGAGAAACUAGCGGUGUGAAUCCCACACCUCGUCCUGGAUCCAAAGGUAUGUGUGCAAGUCAACUCGGGCCUCUGUGGCCUCCAAGGGCGCUGACUGGCCCAGCCAUGGAGGUUUCCAAACAGCAGGAAAACAUGUUCAGCUGUGCAACGAUUUGCCACGCAAUCAUCUGCCGAGGCAAGCCCAGCAGUCCACCCCAGUUGUGUUUGUUCAGGACAAAUAUUUACCUGUUUUACAUUUAUGGAGUAAUCCUAAUGCCUUCGCAGUCUGGAGGGUAUUUUUACAGAGCUGAAUGAGUUGAGUCUCUAUUCUGGAGCCAUAGGGUCACGUAGUUGAAAAAGCCCUGAAAAUAUUAUGUUAAUCCCGCUUAACGGGGAGAGGGGGGUCUCCUUCGGGGAGGGGAUUCAAGGUGUCGGAAACUAGACAGAGACUGCCUCCGAAUUGUGUACUUGAAGAUGGGUUGGGUUUUUUAAUUUUUAAUGUUUAUUCAUUUUAGAGAGAGACAGACAGACAGACAGAGUGAGUGAACAAGGGAGGGACGGAGAGAGAGGGAGACACCGAAUCCGAAGCAGGCUCCGGGCCCCGAGCCGUCAGCGCAGAGCCCGAUGCGGGGCUCGAACUCACGAACCGCGAGAUCGUGACCCGAGCCGAAGUCGGACGCUUAACCGACUGGGCCACCCAGGCGCCCCGUAAGACGGGUUGGUCUUAUGUGUAUUUUCCCUCAGUUAAGAAACAAAGACGAUUCUGAGGUCCAGUCUUCUAUUCUGAAGGUGUGCCAACAAUGGCUGGGUGUAGGGAGCGGAUGUACAGCAGAGGCUUCUCAGAAGCCCUCCCUAGGAUGUGGGCAGGUGUCCAACACCCUCCACCCACCCACCACCCUGUGACCUAACCCUUUUCGCUUCUCUCCACAGCCUGGCAACGUCCGAAGACCGUAAUCUUGGACUGAAUGUGCACUCACCCAGCAGAGACAGCAAAUUAUAUCCUCAGGGAAUCUUCCCUCAGGAGGGCCACGGUUUUGUGGGCAUAUUCUUUCCACGGUGAAGAAAUAAAAGUGAAUCUAGGGGUAAACCACUUUGCUUGGUGCACGUUCACAAAGCCUGAUCUCUGCCGCGAAGAUGGGCACGUAAGGCUUGUUAAGUGAAUGUUAAUAACCAGGUGCUCGGACCUUCUUAGAGGGCUGGUUAUCUCCCGUUUCAGUCAUUAGUGGCCCGUGGGAAUAGUGGCUCCAUAAAACCUUGUGUAUUUUCUUUCGAGAUUUCUCUGUCAGGCUUAUGGCGAGGCAUACCCAGAAAUGAUGCACGUGGGGGACUUUGACAUCACACACAUCCGUCCCGGGAGCCGGGAGUGGCCUCGCCCUUCAGAGAGCAGUGUCACCUCCGCAGGAUGCCGGCUGCUUAUGCGGAGGCUGUGGCACGAGGAGAUGGCAGGAGACUCACCGUCGACGUCGGGACAAGCAGAGUCUAGAACCGCUCCCACUCCGUGCCCAGUGUUGCUCUACUCUGGGCAGCGUGAGACAGCGACACCACUUUGAGCCAUUUGGAUCGGGCGGCCUGUGGCUUGCGGCCAAAUACGUCCUCAGGGAGACAAGGCUCACGUGCCCAGGCGACCCAGAACCCAGACUCAGGAGACCUGAGUUGAUUCCAGUCCCAGCUCCCCUGGAAAUUUAACCCGAUGUCACUCUCUUCACCUGCACAGCGUGGAGGUGGGUAAGACACAUACCAAGGCCAUUUCCAACCAUAAAGUCCCGCUGGGGUAUCUCUGUCCACAUUCACUGGCACGGAGCCUGAGGUCCGUGGUGGCUUUGGUUUUGCCUUCUCUCCCUCUCUCCUCCUUUGGAAAACUGGCCACACCGUGCCGGCUGAGUCUCUCUUCUUGUUGGAAGCCGGGGCGGUCUUUGUUUCCGUGAGGCAUGGACAUCUCCACGUGGGAAGUCGAAGCCACAGGCCAGGUAGCAUAUGUGCACAACUACAUUGGGUGGAAAGUGACAGCUCAUCGGGAUAAGACAAAAUAGGGUCUGCCCUGAUCUUACAACCCCCGCCUUAGGUCUCUCCCUCAAGCUGUAUGUUAUAGACGGAGCAGACCCGGGUUGUGGCCCGAAUCACUCGUGUCUCAACAUUCCCUCGGUUACAAAGUUUUGUUUGCGUGCGACUUUUAGUGUUGAUGGGGGGCUGGGGGCUGGCGGUGCGCAGGGCCCCGUGUGUGUGUGUGUGUGUGUGUGUGUGUGUGUGGACUCUCGUACAUCCCCCAGGAUGUCCCACGUAGGAGCUCAUUCUAGACGACCAGAGAAACAGAUGUCCCAGGGCUGGCGUGGAGUGUCCCUGGACGGGUCACUUAUCCUCUCCGAUCUCGGCUUCCUCAUCUCUACACUGACUCACGGGGGCCCUUGAGUUCAGGUACCACAGAGUCAGCCAGCAUAUCCUCUGACUUUGCAACAGAGUGAGAGCAGAUUUGCCGUGAAAUGCCGUUGCAAACGCACUCGCAGAGAAAAGACGGCAGCACCCGGCAAAGAGCGGGGCGAAAAGAACUAAUUGCACGGUUACCGCAAAGACAAUCCAACGCCCUUAUUUUGCAGCGAGAAAAUGGAUCCGCUUUGCGGCGCAGUUAACUCUAUGGGAAACAACGAUAAUUGCCCUGGAACCGAACACCAGCCUCCCCUUGCGCUCACUGAUAACGAUGCAAAUUCUCCCGCUUGCCUAUAAUGUGGCUCAGAACAAAAAUGCCUUUUCUGGUCCGUGCUGGGAAUAAUUCCUGAAACUCAGUAAGUCUUAACACGCCCCCAGCUCCUCUCGCCAGGGGGGUAGAAUUCAUCCCACGGAGAGUCAGUGACGACAGCCCCCCGGGGUGGGGGUCCAGCCAGCAGGUCUCAUCGGGGGCUGGGGCUUCUAACUUAGCUGUGGAACCCUGAAAUGUUUCCAAGUUGAAUUAUAUAGAAAUCGAGGCCCCUCAGGACUGUUGUUCUCCUAGUCUGGUACAGAAGCAAAGGCCGCUUCCAGGGUAGAGGGGUCUCCUUUGGGGGUGAAUCAACGUCCUCAAAACACGCAGAAAACCCCGUUUGUCUGAACAAGGACCACAGAGUCUGGUGAAAAAAGAUGCCUGCCCACAAGCCCCCCUCCCCAAACUGGCCUUCGUUGCCUUGAAGAGAUAACCAAGUAAGAUAAGAGCUAAAGGGGAAAAGAAGUCUUGGUCUCGUGUUUCGGGUAUUCAGAGACAAAGUGCAAUUGUCAGAGGCAUGAGAAACCGGCCGUGGGUGCGGGGAGUCACAAGCCAAACGGGGGUGGGGACAAUUUAUCUUGUCAGGAAGUCGGCAUGUGAAGCAGGAGCAGGGCAAGGGGCGGACGGGGUCCCUCUGGACCCUCAUACGUAGCAGACCCCGGGAUUCUUUCAUUUCCAACCAGGCUGACUUCGGUCCUGCCAUUCUGCAGAAAGCCGGCCAGAUCAGGUCAGUUUCUUUCCCUGGCUCGCACAAGGAAGCUGUGAGGUAAGAGUCCUCUCUCUGAGCCCUUCUCUGCCUCGUCCAGAGCUGGCACGGCCAGAACCGGCAAGGUCUAGGGCAUGGGCACGUCUCCGGGGCUGGCCUCAGCUCCCGAGCCCCGUGGGCUCACUCUCCAGCUAGCAGGCCAACUGUUCGGGGCUGGGGAGUAGUGGGUAGGUCUGGGCUUCCAGAGACCGACUUCUCGAGAGGCGGGACAACCUCGCCGAGCGACUGAUCCUAUCUGGCUGUGAAGGUCAUCAGAAACAGGGACGGGCUCCGCGCUUUGACCUGCAGGUUGGGCCCGUGGUGUCCUUUGGGGAGGCAGGAAGAACGUAGCCAACGGCACGCAGGAGGCAGAGACCUGCCUUCUCUCUUAACCAUGUGGCCUUAGUCAACUUCUGAUAGGGCAAAGAUAGGAUAAAUUUGGCAGAGAGGGAAAGGUUAGGACCUGAGGUCCCCGGGUGGGGAAAAACACACAUUUUGGAACAAUGCUGGGAGUGUCUGACCACAGCAAGCCCCCUUAGGCCUUGCGGUUCCUCUUGAGAAUGUAGCAGGCACCUACCCACCCCCCCUCGGGUUUCCCUCAGGAAUCCGACCAUCAAAAUACCUGACUAAAAUAGGUGAACCAUAAAACUCACGUUAUAGGAGGGACAGUAUGACCACCGGCCGGUUUCUCACACAAUGGAGCCGAGCCAAUCAGGAGUGGAUGACCCAGCACCGAGAGCUAUCUAGCCAAGAAGGUUGGGCCUGAGAAGGAACGAGGUGAAGGCAAGCGGGGGUGACCAGAACCCUAGAAAACAAAGACCCUUGCCUACAGUCGGGAGCGUUCACCUUUGAACACCCCCUCUCUGCAAAGAGAGAGCUUUCCCACUAUUCUUACUUUCGUAUAUUCUGAUUAACCUCUGUCUGCUGCUCAUUUAAUUCUGUCCUCUUCUUCACUCUUCGACACGGAGAGACAACGAACCCAGGGUAUCGAGGUAAAAAAAAAAAAAAAUCCUUCAACAAACUCCUACCCUCUCUUCGCUCCCUCAGUUUCCUCUUCUGUUCGUUGAGGAUAAUCCCAGUACUUGCUUCAUGGGGUAGUUCCAAGGAUCGGGUCUGGUAAGUCGACAGCAGGAUCGGCGCGGUUGAGCAAAACGCUCCUAAGUGGCUGGAAAGAACAAAGCACCGAUGCCACGGGCGCGAAUUCUCUUAUUCCUGGAACAGGGGAACCCUCUGGGGUGCUGGGCGUGGCGGGGAGGGGACAAAAAGGCCAAGGCCAAGUCCCCAACUUCUGGGAGUCUGUGUUCUCCCUUCUUUCGACAACCUCCACACCGCAAACCCCGCCUGGCACAUAGUAGGUGCACAGCAAACGCCCACUCGGUAAGCCCAGCUGGGGAGCCCAGUUCGACACGCAGAUGACUAAGCACCAAGUGCUCUGUGCAGGCGGUAAAUACACCCAAUAAAUGUACCCACUCGCUAAUAAAUCCCUGCCCACAGCGUAAUGGUGCUAUCACCUCGGGUUUCUAUUUAACUUCUUCCAUCUGCUUUCCUGUCUCCCCUUCUUCUCGCUCAUUUCCUUGAGUCAGAUUUACGUUAUUACACGUGCAGAAUAACCUGCUCACUUCUCGCUGCUCACGCUGCCGUUCCCCUGCUCAUCAGCUCCCCGGAGCACGUAGCGCUCGGACUGAUUCGAAGCUGCCCCGAGCAGACGUUUUUCUGAGCUGUGUUGUUUACUUUUCUGGAAGUCCCACGGCGCGCUCUCAUAAUGGCAAGCAUCAAGAGCCGCGAGACGGACGCGCGUUCAAUGAAACAGGUGCACUAGACAGCCCGAGCCGUUUUCCAGGUCCUGAGUUAUGGCCGAACUGGCUCCGAUCAGCAGAACGUGGGAGCUCCUGGGGCAUGGUGGCACAACUUCUGGUGGGGGACGGGUCUCGACCGCCUUGACGAAUGGCUGGAAUCAUCUUCCACCUGCCCGACUCAUUCCAACCACAAGCUGCCGAAAAUACCCUCUCUCCGCUUGCCCUUUGCUGAGUGCUGAGGCACGAACCAAAGUCCGUUCCCGAGCUGGGCACCUAAUUUUUGUUAAUAAUAUCUUCACUCUAUCAAUCAUUGUUAACUGACGGGAACAUUUGAAGAAAUUAAUUUGAGCCCGACGAGAGGAACCAUCGCAGCUCAUUAUAAGUCUCCUCCCCAAUGAACUCAGCAACACUGACUGCAUCACAAAGACGCACGGUGACUCAGGCUCGCCCGACUUGACUUCCUCCCACAGAGGACACUUUCUCCUUCAGAGAGCCGCUUCCUAUCCCGGGGCUGUGCUAAAGGCUUCUUAAUUCAGGUUUAAUGAGGGUUUCUCGAUCGUCCACCUCAUUCUCCAGAAGCACUGAGGUGGCCACAGACCCCUGAUGAUGUGGGUGCCGGUGGGGGGGGAGGGGCGUCUGAAAUUCACCUGACACCGAGGUCGGCCUUUCGCAAGGUGGCCCCUACAUUUCUGCCCAAGGGUAGGGAGCAAAGAAAGAGGCAGGUGCUGCAGAAGGAAAGGCCAUGGAGCCCCUCGUGCCCCCGGUACCCUGCCCAUAGGCCCGUUACCCCAAGCCAACCUGAACAUUGCCAACUGAAAAGCCCGCCGUUAGUCUCCCCAGGCCUGUAGCAUCUUGGGAACGAGAUGGCUGGCCGUGGGGCAGCCCCUGCGGAAGAUCACGUUAACUUCCGCUCAGCAAACCACAACCUCGGGAUGCAAGUUCAAAGAGCUGUAGAAGCAUUCUGAGCAUUGAGCAUUUUUCAACAAAAAUCGUAAGGAGCCACGAGCAAGCGAGAUUGGGUUUGUAGUGAACUGUCCUGUGGUGGUCCGUGAGAGACUCGGGUGCUUUGGGUCAAAACCUGUUUUUAAAAUACGUGCGUCUGAUGAUUUUUUUUUAAGUUUAUUUUAUUUAUUUUGAGAGAGAGCAUGCGCACGCGUGUGAGGAAGCACGGGAGGGGCAGAGAGAGAUCGGAGAGAGAGCAUCCCGAGCAGGCUCCACACUGUCAGCGCAGAGCUCGACGCGGGGCUCGAACCCACGAACCGCGAGAUCAUGACCUGAGCCGAAAUCAAGAGGCGGACGCUUAACCGACAGAGCCACCCAGGCACCCCGUAAAAUGUGUGUGUUUGAUGAUUCAUCUCAAAUACGUCUCUGUUUAGACACGGCUGCGUACGUUUUGAAUGUGUGAAGCCUGUCCCAGCAGCCUUAAUGCUUUGUUUUUUCCUUUCAGGUGAAAAUCCCAGGCGCCCUUUGUGUUAAAACGAGUUUUCGCAGCUUCCACUUGCAGAGAGAGCCGGAUUACAUAAUUGCAUUCAGGAGGCCACCACUAGAAAGUAGCUCAUGUGCACGAUCAACGCUAAAUUCUUUGGGGAGGGGGGGAAAGAAACACACCUUCUCGGACUUUCUUUGUCGUACUUUUCACAAUCGAGCGCGAUGGCCAUCAGGGGUCUUCUUCUGAGCUGUCACAUUGCUUAAAUGCGUGCAUGUCGGACAUUUCCGGAGGGGCGAGCUCGGUAGGCACCGAAAAGGGAAGGGUCUCCUCGAGGCUCUGACGGGCCCCGUCGGGUUGGGUUUUUCGGAACGAAGGCGUAGAGCACUUUAACUUCGGAGCAAGUUGCCCUCGUUCAACACGGAGUUCAAAGACACUCAGACACUUGGAGGAAGAGGAGGGGAGAAGUUCUAGGCUUUGCUCCUCACAGGCGAACACCCCACGGUGACAUUUGAAAGGCACUGUGGAGGUAAUGACUGCUCCAAAUAUACUUAGAAACGCUUCGCUCUUCAUUGUUCUUUAUGUGUCUCAUUAUUGUCAUGUCAAAAAAAAAGUUGCAAGUGACACAUGUUGUUCCUCUGAAAAAGAAAGUCCAAGUCCGUAGGUGAAACCUAAGCGUAUACGCGGGAAGCGGAGGCCCGAACGUCACCUCCGUGAGCACAGAGACCGCGUCGCCUCUGGCUGCGGGCGUUGUAACAGAAAGGCAUUUCAGUUACUGCGGGUUCGCCCAUCACUGCUCCAUUCAACCUUCUGGGUGCCUGGGAUGCUUAUCGGUACAGAUCUGAGCACAAGCCCCAAGGAGCGAGCAGAAGAAUCCUGAACAUUCCAGUCCAUUGUUUCAGUAACGCGGCCCGGCCCGCCUGCUCACUCCACUGUCCGUAUCAGAUUGCGGUUCAGUCCUCGGGAGCUGCAAGGGCCAUCGCCGCCAAGUCAGCUUCCCUUCUGGGGCUUCAACUUGAGCCACCUUUGUUCUGACCUCAGGACCUUUGCUCCUGCUCUGCUUCUGCCCCGAGGAGCACUGCCCCCUGGUGUGCGUGGCCGGGCCUUUUUGCCAUUCAGGGGUCAGCACUUCGUGGCACCCACCAACACCCGGUCUCUUAUUGUGUUUCCUUCCUGCCACUUAUUACGUACGUGACAUUUGUGUCUUCAUUUGUCUACCUGUUCCAUUUCAGAAUCCCUGACUCAAACAUCAGGCACGCAAACUUGUUCUGAGCUCAUCUCUCCGAAAACACGGUACCGGGCCAUGAGUCACCUUAGACGUGAAACCAAAAGCUCACUUUAUGUUAGUGAUUCAUUUGUGUUUUUGAAAUUAAACAAUAAUUUCCUUUAUGCUCUGUUCGCUUAUAUAACCAUGCCGGUAAAAACUCCUAUGAGUCAGGAAGGAGAGAGGUGGGGGAGGGAGGGGGGGGGUCUUAAGUUCAUCUUUUGUCAUAAGACGAUCAGUCACCGCUCGCCAGAUGUCAGCUGAGCACCUCAAACACGCGCUGUUUUAAUGGGACCUUCUUCUGGUCGUUAUUAAUUAAUUUACUCAUUUAUUCACUAAAACUUUCAGAGUAAUUUACCAUCUGAAAAGAGAGAUGACAGCAGAAAUAGGGGUGUGUGGUAGACAGUCCACAGUAAAAGGCCUGAGUGAGCCACUUUAGAAAAUACUUAAAAAUUUUUCAAUAGUGAAGGUAUAAAAAUUAAGGGGAGAUGAAAAGCAAAGUUUUGGUGGUAAAUUAGAAUAUGAUAAUACAUAUGAAAUGCAGGGACUUUAUCAUUUGCAGUAAAAUGGUUAUUAUAAUAGCACGGUAUUAUAAAAACAAGAGGGCGAGUACAAAAUCGGAGGAAAUCUAUCUUACCUCGUUGGCAUUAAGAUAGAAUAAAAUUACACUCAGAAAAC